rnacentral:rRNA from 1 species
AUUGAACGCUGGCGGCAUGCCUUGCACAUGCAAGUCGAACGGCAGCACGGGAGCAAUCCUGGUGGCGAGUGGCGAACGGGUGAGUAAAAUAUCGGAACGUGCCCAGUCGUGGGGGAUAACGUAGCGAAAGUUACGCUAAUACCGCAUACGAUCUAUGGAUGAAAGCGGGGGAUCGCAAGACCUCGCGCGAUUGGAGCGGCCGAUAUCAGAUUAGGUAGUUGGUGGGGUAAAGGCUCACCAAGCCGACGAUCUGUAGCUGGUCUGAGAGGACGACCAGCCACACUGGGACUGAGACGCGGCCCAGACUCCUACGGGAGGCAGCAGUGGGGAAUUUUGGACAAUGGGCGAAAGCCUGAACCAGCCAUGCCGCGUGCAGGAUGAAGGCCUUCGGGUUGUAAACUGCUUUUGUACGGAACGAAAAGGUUUGGCCUAAUAAGCUGAGCUCAUGACGGUACCGUAAGAAUAAGCACCGGCUAACUACGUGCCAGCAGCCGCCGUAA